AGAGUUUGAUCCUGGCUCAGAACGAACGUUAGCGGCGCGCCUAACACAUGCAAGUCGCGCGAGAAAGGGCUUCGGCCCCAGUAAAGCGGCGCACGGGUGAGUAACACGUAGGUCAUCUCCCCUUGAGUGGUGGAUAACUCUCCGAAAGGAGAGCUAAUACAGCAUAAGACCACGACCUCGCCGAGGUUGUGGCCAAAGCAGACCUCUUCAUGAAAGUUUGCGCUUAGGGAUGAGCCUGCGGCCCAUCAGCUAGUUGGUAGGGUAAUGGCCUACCAAGGCUAAGACGGGUAGCUGGUCUGAGAGGAUGAACAGCCACACUGGAACUGAGACACGGUCCAGACUCCUACGGGAGGCAGCAGUGGGGAAUCUUGCGCAAUGGGCGAAAGCCUGACGCAGCGACGCCGCGUGAGCGAUGAAGGCCUUCGGGUUGUAAAGCUCUGUGGGGAGGGAAGAAUAAGUUUUGGCUAAUAUCCAAAGCGAUGACGGUACCUCCUUAGCAAGCACCGGCUAACUCUGUGCCAGCAGCCGCGGUAAGACAGAGGGUGCAAACGUUGUUCGGAAUUACUGGGCGUAAAGCGCGUGUAGGCGGCUAAGUAAGUCGGGCGUGAAAUCCCACGGCUCAACCGUGGAAGUGCACUCGAAACUGCAUAGCUAGAGUCCUGGAGAGGAAGGUGGAAUGCUUGGUGUAGAGGUGAAAUUCGUAGAUAUCAAGCGGAACACCGGUGGCGAAGGCGGCCUUCUGGACAGUGACUGACGCUGAGACGCGAAAGCGUGGGGAGCAAACAGGAUUAGAUACCCUGGUAGUCCACGCCGUAAACGAUGAGUGCUAGGUGUCACGGGCUUUGACCCUCGUGGUGCCGAAGCUAACGCGUUAAGCACUCCGCCUGGGGAGUACGGCCGCAAGGCUAAAACUCAAAAGAAUUGACAGGGGCCCGCACAAGCGGUGGAGCAUGUUGUUUAAUUCGACGCAACGCGAAGAACCUUACC
rnacentral:rRNA from 1 species